rnacentral:rRNA from 1 species
UAUCUCUGUAGAGUCUGCAUAUCAAUAAGCGGAGGAAAAGAAACUAACAAGGAUUCCCCUAGUAACGGCGAGUGAAGCGGGAAGAGCUCAAAUUUGAAAUCUUCAAGGUUUGACCUUGACGAAUUGUAGUUUAAAGAAGUGUUUUCGGUUAGAGGAGUAGUAAAAGUUCUUUGGAAUAGGACAUCAUAGAGGGUGAGAAUCCCGUAUUUGACUAUUCUUUCUAGCUUUGUGAUACACUUUCAAAGAGUCGGAUUGUUUGGGAAUGCAGUCCAAAAUGGGUGGUAAAUUUCAUCUAAAGCUAAAUAUUGGCGAGAGACCGAUAGCGAACAAGUACCGUGAGGGAAAGAUGAAAAGAACUUUGAAAAGAGAGUUAAACAGUACGUGAAAUUGUCAAAAGGGAAGCGUUUGACACCAGUGCUGUUUUUCCGAAAAUCAAUUAAAAAUUGAUUCAUGCCAGGUUGUAUUGACCUUAUCAGCUUGCAAUUUGGUUUUGGGUCUCUUUUUGAUGCACUUUUCGGUUAACAAGUCAACACCAAUUUCCUUUGCUGUAAAAAGGUAAGAGGAAGGUGGCUUCAAUUUCGGUUGAAGUGUUUAUAGCCUUUUAUCUCUGCAGUCGGGGAGAUUGAGGUCUGCAGCGUAGAUCCUUCGGGGCUAGAUACAUUUAUGCUAAGUUAUAGCUUUUCAUAGACAACUUGUUGACUAUGUUUAGUCAUGCGGCUUACUCGCUUGUGCUAUUUUACCUACGCUUAGGAUGUUGAGCGCAUGUCUCUCUCU